AACUUUUAGCAGUGGGUGUCUAGUCUCGCUCAUCGAUGAAGGACGCUGCAAAAUGCAAUACAUAAUGCGAAUUACAGAUCUCAGUCAGCAACCAAAAUUUUGAGCUUUUUUUGCACUUCUGGGUUAGGUGUUC
rnacentral:rRNA from 1 species